UGAGACUUGGAGAGAAAGAGAGGGGGCAGGGCACGAAAAAAAGAAAGAAAAAGAGAGAAAGGAGGAGAAGAGGAAAGAGUUUCAAGGAUCUCUAGUUUCGAAAACCCUAGGUUGUUCAAAGAGGGUGGCCAUUGUUUUGGGUACUUGACUUCUAGCAAGAGAGGCAGAUGUGCCUAAGAUUCUGGCCAAAAGGGAGUCAUGGAAAUUCAUGGACAAAAGGGUUGCAGGUGAAUUAUGGCCAAAAGGGUGCCGUGGAAGUGACCAAAAGGGAGUCGCAUGUGAUCAUUGGACAAUAGAGGCGUCAUGAUCCUAUGUUGUAUGCUUACGAUUAUGUUGCUUAUGAUCUUAUGUUGAAUGUUUAUGCUCAUGUUGCAAAGGAUCUUAUGGUUAUGAUGUACGAUUAUGCCUAUCUCGCAAAUAGUAUCAUGUUGAUGAUUAUGACUUUUGUUGAUAGUGAUUGCUAUAAGAAAAGUAUGUUAAGAAU